rnacentral:rRNA from 1 species
UGUAAGCGUAUACCAAAGUUGUUGCAGUUAAAACGCUCGUAGUCGGAAUUUGGCAGUUCCGGAUGUGUGCACGUCGUGUGCGCACUUCGCGGGGAUUGCUUUUGUGGUCGUGCGUAGGAUGAGGCACUUUUAUUAGUGAACGUCCUCACGCAACCACUUUUUACUGUGAGAAAAUCAGAGUGCUCAAAGCAGGCAUUUGCCGUGAAUGUAUUAGCAUGGAAUAAUAGAAUAGGACUUGGUUCUAUUUUGUUGGUUUGUUGGGACUGAGUAAUGAUUAAGAGGGACAGUUGGGGGCAUUUGUAUUUCGGUGCUAGAGGUGAAAUUCUUAGAUUACCGAAAGACAAACUGCUGCGAAAGCGUCUGCCAAGGAUGUUUUCAUUGA